CCCAUUGCAUCCGCGCUGGCGGCUCCCUAUAUUCCGCGUGCCGGCAACGGCUAUGGCGAUAAAUUGCCAUCGUAAUAAACCCAUCGGACCCGGGGGCAGUGCCCGGCGCCUCCACCAAUCCCUGUCGCUGGCAGGGCCAUGGGGGCGAAACAGGCUCGACGAGGGCGUAAAGGGUGUGUUUUCGCUCGGCAUGGUACCGCCGAUAUCGGACCAAACUUAUAGUUGCCAACGACAACUAUGCUGGGCGUCGUCUCCUCGCUGCUUAAGCGAGUCGACACACCCGAUCUAAAGCCCUGCCGUUCUAGCAGGCGGUAGGCGGGGUUCGCAGGCACCUGGCAACAGAAGCCUGCACU
rnacentral:tmRNA from 2 species